rnacentral:rRNA from 1 species
AUUGAACGCUGGCGGCAUGCCUUACACAUGCAAGUCGAACGGUAACAGGUCUUCGGAUGCUGACGAGUGGCGAACGGGUGAGUAAUACAUCGGAACGUGCCUAGUAGUGGGGGAUAACUACUCGAAAGAGUGGCUAAUACCGCAUGAGAUCUACGGAUGAAAGCAGGGGAUCGCAAGACCUUGUGCUACUAGAGCGGCCGAUGGCAGAUUAGGUAGUUGGUGGGAUAAGAGCUUACCAAGCCGACGAUCUGUAGCUGGUCUGAGAGGACGAUCAGCCACACUGGGACUGAGACACGGCCCAGACUCCUACGGGAGGCAGCAGUGGGGAAUUUUGGACAAUGGGCGCAAGCCUGAUCCAGCAAUGCCGCGUGCAGGAUGAAGGCCUUCGGGUUGUAAACUGCUUUUGUACGGAACGAAAAGCCCUGGGUUAAUACCUUGGGGUCAUGACGGUACCGUAAGAAUAAGCACCGGCUAACUACGUGCCAGCCGCCGCCGUAAGAC